rnacentral:rRNA from 1 species
GAUGAACGCUGGCGGCGUGCUUAACACAUGCAAGUCGAACGAUGAAGCCCAGCUUGCCGGGUGGAUUAGUGGCGAACGGGUGAGUAACACGUGAGUAACCUGCCCUUAACUCUGGGAUAAGCCUGGGAAACUGGGUCUAAUACCGGAUAGGAGCGUCCACCGCAUGGUGGGUGUUGGAAAGAUUUAUCGGUUUUGGAUGGACUCGCGGCCUAUCAGCUUGUUGGUGAGGUAAUGGCUCACCAAGGCAACGACGGGUAGCCGGCCUGAGAGGGUGACCGGCCACACUGGGACUGAGACACGGCCCAGACUCCUACGGGAGGCGGCAGUGGGGAAUAUUGCACAAUGGGCGCAAGCCUGAUGCAGCGACGCCGCGUGAGGGAUGACGGCCUUCGGGUUGUAAACCUCUUUCAGUAGGGAAGAAGCGAAAGUGACGGUACCUGCAGAAGAAGCACCGGCUAACUACGUG